rnacentral:rRNA from 2 species
GGGUUGUGAGGUUAAGCGACUAAGCGUACACGGUGGAUGCCCUGGCAGUCAGAGGCGAUGAAGGACGUGCUAAUCUGCGAUAAGCGUCGGUAAGGUGAUAUGAACCGUUAUAACCGGCGAUUUCCGAAUGGGGAAACCCAGUGUGAUUCGUCACACUAUCAUUAACUGAAUCCAUAGGUUAAUGAGGCGAACCGGGGGAACUGAAACAUCUAAGUACCCCGAGGAAAAGAAAUCAACCGAGAUUCCCCCAGUAGCGGCGAGCGAACGGGGAGCAGCCCAGAGCCUGAAUCAGUGUGUGUGUUAGUGGAAGCGUCUGGAAAGGCGUGCGAUACAGGGUGACAGCCCCGUACACAAAAAUGCACAUGCUGUGAGCUCGAUGAGUAGGGCGGGACACGUGGUAUCCUGUCUGAAUAUGGGGGGACCAUCCUCCAAGGCUAAAUACUCCUGACUGACCGAUAGUGAACCAGUACCGUGAGGGAAAGGCGAAAAGAACCCCGGCGAGGGGAGUGAAAAAGAACCUGAAACCGUGUACGUACAAGCAGUGGGAGCACGCUUAGGCGUGUGACUGCGUACCUUUUGUAUAAUGGGUCAGCGACUUAUAUUCUGUAGCAAGGUUAACCGAAUAGGGGAGCCGAAGGGAAACCGAGUCUUAACUGGGCGUUAAGUUGCAGGGUAUAGACCCGAAACCCGGUGAUCUAGCCAUGGGCAGGUUGAAGGUUGGGUAACACUAACUGGAGGACCGAACCGACUAAUGUUGAAAAAUUAGCGGAUGACUUGUGGCUGGGGGUGAAAGGCCAAUCAAACCGGGAGAUAGCUGGUUCUCCCCGAAAGCUAUUUAGGUAGCGCCUCGUGAAUUCAUCUCCGGGGGUAGAGCACUGUUUCGGCAAGGGGGUCAUCCCGACUUACCAACCCGAUGCAAACUGCGAAUACCGGAGAAUGUUAUCACGGGAGACACACGGCGGGUGCUAACGUCCGUCGUGAAGAGGGAAACAACCCAGACCGCCAGCUAAGGUCCCAAAGUCAUGGUUAAGUGGGAAACGAUGUGGGAAGGCCCAGACAGCCAGGAUGUUGGCUUAGAAGCAGCCAUCAUUUAAAGAAAGCGUAAUAGCUCACUGGUCGAGUCGGCCUGCGCGGAAGAUGUAACGGGGCUAAACCAUGCACCGAAGCUGCGGCAGCGACGCUGAUGCGUUGUUGGGUAGGGGAGCGUUCUGUAAGCCUGUGAAGGUGUACUGUGAGGUAUGCUGGAGGUAUCAGAAGUGCGAAUGCUGACAUAAGUAACGAUAAAGCGGGUGAAAAGCCCGCUCGCCGGAAGACCAAGGGUUCCUGUCCAACGUUAAUCGGGGCAGGGUGAGUCGACCCCUAAGGCGAGGCCGAAAGGCGUAGUCGAUGGGAAACAGGUUAAUAUUCCUGUACUUGGUGUUACUGCGAAGGGGGGACGGAGAAGGCUAUGUUGGCCGGGCGACGGUUGUCCCGGUUUAAGCGUGUAGGCUGGUUUUCCAGGCAAAUCCGGAAAAUCAAGGCUGAGGCGUGAUGACGAGGCACUACGGUGCUGAAGCAACAAAUGCCCUGCUUCCAGGAAAAGCCUCUAAGCAUCAGGUAACAUCAAAUCGUACCCCAAACCGACACAGGUGGUCAGGUAGAGAAUACCAAGGCGCUUGAGAGAACUCGGGUGAAGGAACUAGGCAAAAUGGUGCCGUAACUUCGGGAGAAGGCACGCUGAUAUGUAGGUGAAGUCCCUCGCGGAUGGAGCUGAAAUCAGUCGAAGAUACCAGCUGGCUGCAACUGUUUAUUAAAAACACAGCACUGUGCAAACACGAAAGUGGACGUAUACGGUGUGACGCCUGCCCGGUGCCGGAAGGUUAAUUGAUGGGGUUAGCGCAAGCGAAGCUCUUGAUCGAAGCCCCGGUAAACGGCGGCCGUAACUAUAACGGUCCUAAGGUAGCGAAAUUCCUUGUCGGGUAAGUUCCGACCUGCACGAAUGGCGUAAUGAUGGCCAGGCUGUCUCCACCCGAGACUCAGUGAAAUUGAACUCGCUGUGAAGAUGCAGUGUACCCGCGGCAAGACGGAAAGACCCCGUGAACCUUUACUAUAGCUUGACACUGAACAUUGAGCCUUGAUGUGUAGGAUAGGUGGGAGGCUUUGAAGUGUGGACGCCAGUCUGCAUGGAGCCGACCUUGAAAUACCACCCUUUAAUGUUUGAUGUUCUAACGUUGACCCGUAAUCCGGGUUGCGGACAGUGUCUGGUGGGUAGUUUGACUGGGGCGGUCUCCUCCUAAAGAGUAACGGAGGAGCACGAAGGUUGGCUAAUCCUGGUCGGACAUCAGGAGGUUAGUGCAAUGGCAUAAGCCAGCUUGACUGCGAGCGUGACGGCGCGAGCAGGUGCGAAAGCAGGUCAUAGUGAUCCGGUGGUUCUGAAUGGAAGGGCCAUCGCUCAACGGAUAAAAGGUACUCCGGGGAUAACAGGCUGAUACCGCCCAAGAGUUCAUAUCGACGGCGGUGUUUGGCACCUCGAUGUCGGCUCAUCACAUCCUGGGGCUGAAGUAGGUCCCAAGGGUAUGGCUGUUCGCCAUUUAAAGUGGUACGCGAGCUGGGUUUAGAACGUCGUGAGACAGUUCGGUCCCUAUCUGCCGUGGGCGCUGGAGAACUGAGGGGGGCUGCUCCUAGUACGAGAGGACCGGAGUGGACGCAUCACUGGUGUUCGGGUUGUCAUGCCAAUGGCACUGCCCGGUAGCUAAAUGCGGAAGAGAUAAGUGCUGAAAGCAUCUAAGCACGAAACUUGCCCCGAGAUGAGUUCUCCCUGACUCCUUGAGAGUCCUGAAGGAACGUUGAAGACGACGACGUUGAUAGGCCGGGUGUGUAAGCGCAGCGAUGCGUUGAGCUAACCGGUACUAAUGAACCGUGAGGCUUAACCUUACAACGCCGAAGGUGUUU